rnacentral:tRNA from 1 species
AGAAGUGUAAGUUAAUUUUAAAACUUUGUGGUUCAUGUUCAUGCAAUAUAUCUUUGAUAUCUCUUCUU